GGAGUAAAGUCGAUAAUUAUCGGCAAACUUGGCAUGGAAGACAACGAAUCCACGACCGGUACCCCUAUACUCUGCACCUCCAUGAAGCAAUGUUCUCCCGUAGUAGUGAGUCUUGGUUCCAAGAGAAAAUGUGAAGAACACAGACGAUAAUUGUAGUUGCAUCAUUAUGAAUUCACUAAGGGCAGUGCGAAACCCUUUUUCAAGUCCGAUUUCCAUCAUCAUC
rnacentral:misc_RNA from 1 species